UGACCCGGACGUGUUUGAACAGCCAACCUUCUUAUCUGGAGUCAGACGCGCUACCGUUGCGCCACCGAGUC